rnacentral:rRNA from 1 species
AGUCGGACGGUAGGAAUCCUUCGGGGUUCUGAGAGUGGCGAACGGGUGAGUAACACGUAGGUAAUCUGCCUCUGGGAUGGGGAUAGCCCAUGGAAACAUGGAGUAAUACCGAAUACGACCUGCCGAGGAAUCGGCAGGUGAAAGGCGCUUUAGGCGCCGUCCGGAGAGGAGCCUGCGGUCCAUUAGCUAGUUGGUGGGGUAAAGGCCUACCAAGGCGACGAUGGAUAGCCGGCCUGAGAGGGUGAACGGCCACACUGGGACUGAGACACGGCCCAGACUCCUACGGGAGGCAGCAGCUAAGAAUCUUCCGCAAUGGGCGAAAGCCUGACGGAGCGACGCCGCGUGGAUGAAGAAGGCGGAAACGUUGUAAAGUCCUUUUCUUGAGGAGGAAUAAGCCUGCGAGGGAAUGCGCGGGUGAUGACGUUAAUCAAGGAAUAAGCCCCGGCUAAUUACGUGCCAGCAGCCGCGGUAACACGUAAGGGGCAAGCGUUGUUCGGAAUUAUUGGGCGUAAAGGGCGUGUAGGCGGUUUCGAAAGCCUGGUGUUAAAAACCACAGCUUAACUGUGGAAGAGCGCUGGGAACUGCGAGACUAGAGUUUAGGAGGGGAAGCUGGAAUUCCAGGUGUAGGGGUGAAAUCUGUAGAUAUCUGGAAGAACACCGGUGGCGAAGGCGAGCUUCUGGCCAUAAACUGACGCUGAGGCGCGAAAGCGUGGGGAGCGAACAGGAUUAGAUACCCUGGUAGUCCACGCUGUAAACGAUGUGCACUAGGUGUUGGCCCGACUGCUAUAGAGAGGAAAAGAAGUCAUGGGAGGAACUUGGGGACCGGCGAAAAUCGGUAACUUAAGCCUAUGAUCUCCGGAAGGAGCUAUAGUGGUCGGGUCAGUGCCGUAGCAAACGCGUUAAGUGCACCGCCUGGGGAGUAUGCUCGCAAGGGUGAAACUCAAAGGAAUUGACGGGGGCCCGCACAAGCGGUGGAGCAUGUGGUUUAAUUCGAUGGUACGCGAGGAACCUUACCAGGGCUUGACAUCCGGUGGGAUACGCAAGAGAUUGUGUAGACCCGCAAGGGACUAUCGGACAGGUGCUGCAUGGCUGUCGUCAGCUCGUGCUGUGAAGUGUUGGGUUAAGUCCCGCAACGAGCGCAACCCCUUCUGUCUGUUGCCAACAGGUGAUGCUGGGAACUCAGACGGUACUGCCGGUGACAAACCGGAGGAAGGUGGGGACGACGUCAAGUCAUCAUGGCCCUUAUGUCCUGGGCUACACACGUGCUACAAUGGCCGGUACAGAGUGAAGCGAAGCCGAGAGGUGAAGCAAAUCGCAGAAAGCCGGCCUCAGUACAGAUUGGAGUCUGAAACUCGACUUCAUGAAGGUGGAAUCGCUAGUAAUCGCGCAUCAGCAUGGCGCGGUGAAUACGUUCCCGGGCCUUGUACACACCGCCCGUCACACCACCCGAGUUGGGGGUACCCGAAGUCGCUAGCCUAACCGCAAGGAAGGCG